AUUGAACGCUGGCGGCAUGCCUUACACAUGCAAGUCGAACGGUAACAGGUCUUCGGAUGCUGACGAGUGGCGAACGGGUGAGUAAUACAUCGGAACGUGCCCGAGAGUGGGGGAUAACGAGGCGAAAGCUUUGCUAAUACCGCAUACGAUCUCAGGAUGAAAGCAGGGGACCGCAAGGCCUUGCGCUCACGGAGCGGCCGAUGGCAGAUGAGGUAGUUGGUGGGAUAAAAGCUUACCAAGCCGACGAUCUGUAGCUGGUCUGAGAGGACGACCAGCCACACUGGGACUGAGACACGGCCCAGACUCCUACGGGAGGCAGCAGUGGGGAAUUUUGGACAAUGGGCGCAAGCCUGAUCCAGCCAUGCCGCGUGCAGGAUGAAGGCCUUCGGGUUGUAAACUGCUUUUGUACGGAACGAAAAGACUCUGGUUAAUACCUGGGGUCCAUGACAGUACCGUAAGUAUAAGCACCGGCUAACUACGUGCCAGCCGCCGCCGUAACAC
rnacentral:rRNA from 1 species